UCCGGUUGAUCCUGCCGGACCCGACUGCUAUUUGGGUGAGGAUAAGCCAUGCGAGUUGGAUGGGAUACCUAAACUUCCCAUAGCAAACUGCAUAGUAACACAUGAUCAACUUGCCCUAUGGAGAAAAAUAACCUCGGGAAACUGAGGAUAAUGUUUCAUAGUUGAAUAGGCUUGGAAAAGUUUUUCAAUGAAGGGAAUAAGAUAAAUGGAUCUUAUUUGCCAUAGGAUAGGAUCGUGGUCGAUUAUGGUAGUUGGUGAGAUAACGGCUCACCAAGCCGAUAAUCGAUAGGGGCCGUGAGAGCGGGAGCCCCAAGAUGGGUACUGAGACAGCGACCCAGGCCUUACGAGGCGCAGCAGGCGCGAGACCUCCGCAAUACACGAAAGUGUGACGGGGUUACCCAAAGUGUUCUCUUAAGAACUGUGGCAGGUGAGUAAUGUCCCCUGCUAGAAAGGAGAGGGCAAGGCUGGUGCCAGCCGCCGCGGUAAAACCAGCUCUUCAAGUGGUCGGGAUAAUUAUUGGGCUUAAAGUGUCCGUAGCCGGUUUAGUAAGUUCCUGGUAAAAUCGGGUAGCUUAACUAUCUGCAUGCUAGGAAUACUGCUAUACUAGAGGGCGGGAGAGGUCUGAGGUACUACAGGGGUAGGGGUGAAAUCUUAUAAUCCUUGUAGGACCACCAGUGGCGAAGGCGUCAGACUGGAACGCGCCUGACGGUGAGGGACGAAAGCCAGGGGAGCGAACCGGAUUAGAUACCCGGGUAGUCCUGGCCGUAAACGAUGCAUACUAGGUGAUGGUACGGCCAUGAGCCGUAUCAGUGCCGUAGGGAAACCGUUAAGUGUGCCGCCUGGGAAGUACGGUCGCAAGGCUAAAACUUAAAGGAAUUGGCGGGGGAGCACCACAAGGGGUGAAGCCUGCGGUUCAAUUGGACCCAACGCCGGGAAACUUACCAGGGGAGACAGUAGAAUGACGGUCAGGUUGACGACCUUACUUGAUGAGCCGAGAGGAGGUGCAUGGCCGUCGCCAGUUCGUGCCGUGAGGUAUCCUGUUAAGUCAGGCAACGAACGAGAUCCGCGCCUUUAUUUGCCAACAAGAAGUUACGACUUCGUUGGGAACACUAAAGGGACCGCCGUCGAUAAGACGGAGGAAGGAGUGGGCAAAGGCAGGUCAGUAUGCCCCGAAACCCCUGGGCUACACGCGGGCUGCAAUGGUAUGAACAAUGGGCUGUAACUCCGAAAGGAGAAACCAAUCCCGAAAUCAUAUCACAGUGGGGAUUGUUGGCUGUAACCCGCCGACAUGAACGUGGAAUCCCUAGUAAUCGUGUGUCAUCAUCGCACGGUGAAUACGUCUCUGCUCCUUGCACACACCGCCCGUCGCUCCAUCCGAGUGUACUAAAAAUGAGGUUUGGUCAGACUGGUCAUAUCGAGUUUCUAGUAUGCGAGGAGGGAGAAGUCGUAACAAGGUAGCCG
rnacentral:rRNA from 1 species